ACUUGAUAUUAAUGGUUAUACGGGUGGAUAUAAUAUUACUUGUGCGCUAGUGACUGGGCACACGGCAGGAGCUUAUGCGGCGGAAGUUUCGAACGCAUAAAAAAAGAACCAAAUCUGUUAUUCGCAGAUUUGGUUCUUUUUUUCUUAU
rnacentral:sRNA from 1 species